rnacentral:tRNA from 1 species
GUUGUGGUUCAGUGGUAGAGCACUUGCCUAGCAUCCAUGAGGAACUGAGUUUGAUCCUCAGCACAACA